GACGAACCGUGCGAACGUUAUUCGGAAUCACUGGGCUUAAAGCGCGUGUAGGCGGCCCGGCGCGUCGGAUGCUGAAAUCCCCCGGCUCAACCGGGGAAGGGGCGCCGAUACGGCCGGGCUGGAGGGGGGUAGGGGGCGCUGGAACUCACGGUGGAGCGGUGAAAUGCGUUGAGAUCGUGAGGAACGCCCGCGGCGAAAGCGAGCGCCUGGACCCUUUCUGACGCUGAGACGCGAAAGCCAGGGGAGCGAACGGG
rnacentral:rRNA from 1 species